GAUGAACGCUAGCUACAGGCUUAACACAUGCAAGUCGAGGGGAAACGGCAUUAAGUGCUUGCACUUUUUGGACGUCGACCGGCGCACGGGUGAGUAACGCGUAUCCAACCUUCCCAUGACUAAGGGAUAACCUGCCGAAAGGCAGACUAAUACCUUAUGGUCUUCACUGACGGCAUCAGAUGUGAAGUAAAGAUUUAUCGGUUAUGGAUGGGGAUGCGUCUGAUUAGCUUGUUGGCGGGGUAACGGCCCACCAAGGCAACGAUCAGUAGGGGUUCUGAGAGGAAGGUCCCCCACAUUGGAACUGAGACACGGUCCAAACUCCUACGGGAGGCAGCAGUGAGGAAUAUUGGUCAAUGGGCGAGAGCCUGAACCAACCAAGUAGCGUGCAGGAUGACGGCCCUAUGGGUUGUAAACUGCUUUUGUAUGGGGAUAAAGUCAAUCACGUGUGAUUGUUUGCAGGUACCAUACGAAUAAGGACCGGCUAAUUCCGUG
rnacentral:rRNA from 1 species